rfam:Sulfurihydrogenibium azorense Az-Fu1, complete genome.
GUCGGGACCCUCCGGGUAGGAGACGGUGAACCUCCCCAGGUCCGGAAGGAAGCAAGGAUAAGCCGAACCUCCUAUGCCGGAGUAAGUCCCGUUAAU